UGUGUAAGCGCAGCGAUGGGUUGAGGUAUCCGAUACUAAUGAAGCGUGAGUCUUAACCUUACUACGGCGAAG
rnacentral:rRNA from 1 species